rnacentral:rRNA from 1 species
UGGGGAAUAUUGCACAAUGGGCGAAAGCCUGAUGCAGCAACGCCGCGUGAGGGACGACGGCCUUCGGGUUGUAAACCUCUUUUAGCAAGGAAGAAGCGAAAGUGACGGUACUUGCAGAAAAAGCGCCGGCUAACUACGUGCCAGCAGCCGCGGUAAUACGUAGGGCGCAAGCGUUAUCCGGAAUUAUUGGGCGUAAAGAGCUCGUAGGCGGUUUGUCGCGUCUGCUGUGAAAACCCGAGGCCCAACCUCGGGCCUGCAGUGGGUACGGGCAGACUAGAGUGCGGUGGGGGAGAUUGGAACUCCUGGUGUAGCGGUGGAAUGCGCAGAUAUCAGGAAGAACACCGAUGGCGAAGGCAGAUCUCUGGGCCGUAACUGACGCUGAGGAGCGAAAAGGGUGGGGAGCAAAACAGGCUUAGAUACCCUGGUAGCCCACCCCGUAAACGUUGGG